rnacentral:lncRNA from 1 species
CGUGGGAGAGAAGGGAGGGUUGGGGGAAGUGUGGAAAACCUGAACCUGAGCUGCUGUCGCCUGAGGAAGAUUUGGUGGGAGGAGAAGCAGAGGGGAAGAGACGGGUUGAGAGUGAGGUGAGGAGGGCAUCUAGGUCACUGCUCCCGGGGGGCACAAAGUUCGCGAUGUGGCUGAAGCCUGAGGAAGUGCUUCUGAAAAAUGCGCUGAAGCUGUGGCUGAUGGAAAGGUCCAACGACUACUUCGUGCUGCAGCGGCGUCGGGGCUACGGGGAGGAAGGCGGAGGGGGGCUCACAGGGCUUCUGGUUGGGACUCUUGAUUCAGUCUUAGACUCUACUGCUAAAGUAGCUCCAUUUCGCAUCCUACACCAGACACCAGAUUCUCAAGUUUAC